rnacentral:rRNA from 1 species
AGCGAACGCUGGUGGUAUGCUUAACACAUGCAAGUCGAACGAGUAUGGCCUAGCUUGCUAGGACCCAGCGAGUGGCGGACGGGUGAGUAACGCGUGGGAAUCUGCCUCAUGGUUUGGAAUAACAUUCAGAAAUGAAUGCUAAUACCAAAUAAUACCUUCGGGUCAAAGAUUUAUUGCCAUGAGAUGAGCCCGCGUUAGAUUAGCUAGUUGGUAAGGUAAUGGCUUACCAAGGCUACGAUCUAUAGCUGGUCUGAGAGGAUGAUCAGCCACACUGGAACUGAGACACGGUCCAG